UACAGAGGGGGCAAGCGUUGUUCGGAAUUACUGGGCGUAAAGGGCGCGUAGGCGGCCACCUAAGUCAGACGUGAAAUCCCUCGGCUCAACCGGGGAACUGCGUCUGAUACUGGGCAGCUUGAAUUCGGGAGAGGGAUGCGGAAUUCCAGGUGUAGCGGUGAAAUGCGUAGAUAUCUGGAGGAACACCGGUGGCGAAGGCGGCAUCCUGGACCGAGAUUGACGCUGAGGCGCGAAAGCCAGGGGAGCAAACGGG
rnacentral:rRNA from 1 species